CUCUCCAAAGAAUCGUUUAGGCUCAAGUCUCACAGGGUUGUAGCGUUAGUUUGAGUUACUUCCUUCAAGCAUGUUCCAAAAACUGAUUUUUUUCUUUGUGAUUAUAUGUGAAUUCGUAAACAACAACGAUGACCAAGCAUAAACAAAAGAGCAUAUCAAACUUCCAUCCAUGUUUGUAACGUUCUUUAACCGUCAUGCAAUUAAAAACCAAAUCCUCAUCAUUGUGUUGGAAGGUACUCUACGACACAAACAAACAAAAACAACUUUAAAACGACUCUUUUUUGGGUUUUUUCAAAACUUUUUCUAUUUUUUUCUUGAAUUUUCGGAUUUUCUGGUAAAGCCACAUAAAAACACAUCAAACUUUCUAAAAACACUUAAAAACAACCUUUGAAAUGUUAGGUGGUAAAAUCCUACGAAUUUUGACAUAAAAACACUUUGUUUACCCCCCAACACUUAAACCAAACAUUGUCCUCAAUGUUUCAAACAUAGACUCACACAAAAACAAGCAAAUAACACAACUAGCAAACAUGACAGAUAUGGCAAAGUAAAAGCAAUAAGGAGUAGGGUUUAGGAACGCAAAUCUGAUUAUGAUGCCAGAGCUUCCUAGGUCCUCUUUAUUUGCAUGGGUUGCCUCCCAAGAAGCGCUUGCUUGAACGUCUUCCAGCCAAACGAUGCUCCAUUGAAGGUUUAUGGAACCCCACGGCAUGGAGGGGUGUUUCCACAAUCUGACCUACGAAAUACUUCAUCUUUUGGGUCCUUGAAUGGGAUGGGAUAAUGAUCCUUUCUUAUUGUCAUGUUUUGCUUCUCUAAAUCAACACGAA
rnacentral:lncRNA from 1 species